UAGGGAAUCUUCGGCAAUGGGGGCAACCCUGACCGAGCAACGCCGCGUGAGUGAAGAAGGUCUUCGGAUCGUAAAACUCUGUUGUUAGAGAAGAACACGAGUGAGAGUAACUGUUCAUUCGAUGACGGUAUCUAACCAGAAAGCCACGGCUAACUACGUGCCAG
rnacentral:rRNA from 1 species